rnacentral:tRNA from 1 species
AUAUUUUAUGAUAAAAAGAAAUUUUGUAAUUAGUAAUAAAAAAAUUUAAUUCGAUAAAAAUAAAGAUUAAAUUUUUGAAAAAUUAAUUUUUUAUUGAUUUUUAGAAGAAAAUAAUAUUUAAUUCUUUAUAAAUUAAAAAUUUGAAUUUUUAAAAAUAUU